rnacentral:rRNA from 1 species
UGGGGAAUAUUGCACAAUGGCGGGAACUCUGAUGCAGCGACGCCGCGUGUGUGAUGAAGGAAUUCGUUUCGUAAAACUCUGUUCUAUGGGAAGAAAAGGACUGUACCAUAGGAGAAAGCUCCGGCUAAAUACGUGCCAGCAGCCGCGGUAAUACGUAUGGAGCGAGCGUUGUCCGGAAUUAUUGGGCGUGAAGGGUGCGCAGGCGGCUUUACAAGUUGGAUGUGAAAUAUUGUGGCUCAACCACAAACGUGCAUCCAAAACUGCAAAGCUUGAGUUAAGGAGAGGUAAGUGGAAUUCCUGGUGUAGCGGUGGAAUGCGUAGAUAUCAGGAGGAAUACCGGUGGCGAAGGCGACUUACUGGACUUAAACUGACGCUCAGGCACGAAAGCGUGGGGAGCAAACAGG